rnacentral:rRNA from 1 species
GGUUAAGCGACUAAGCGUACACGGUGGAUGCCCUGGCAGUCAGAGGCGAUGAAGGACGUGCUAAUCUGCGAUAAGCGUCGGUAAGGUGAUAUGAACCGUUAUAACCGGCGAUUUCCGAAUGGGGAAACCCAGUGUGAUUCGUCACACUAUCAUUAACUGAAUCCAUAGGUUAAUGAGGCGAACCGGGGGAACUGAAACAUCUAAGUACCCCGAGGAAAAGAAAUCAACCGAGAUUCCCCCAGUAGCGGCGAGCGAACGGGGAGCAGCCCAGAGCCUGAAUCAGUGUGUGUGUUAGUGGAAGCGUCUGGAAAGGCGUGCGAUACAGGGUGACAGCCCCGUACACAAAAAUGCACAUGCUGUGAGCUCGAUGAGUAGGGCGGGACACGUGGUAUCCUGUCUGAAUAUGGGGGGACCAUCCUCCAAGGCUAAAUACUCCUGACUGACCGAUAGUGAACCAGUACCGUGAGGGAAAGGCGAAAAGAACCCCGGCGAGGGGAGUGAAAAAGAACCUGAAACCGUGU